ACGAACGCUGGCGGCGUGCUUUAACACAUGCAAGUCGAACGCUGAUCCAUCUUUCGGGGGUGGUGAUUGAGUGGCGAACGGGUGAGUAACACGUGGAUAACCUGUCCUCAACUUCGGAGAUAAGCUUGGGAAACUGGGUCUAAUACCGGAUAGGACCUCAUCGGGCAUCUGGUGGGGUGGAAAGUUUUGGCGGUUGGGGGGUGGGGUCCGCGGCCUAUCAGCUUGUUGGUGGGGUGAUGGCCUACCAAGGCGACGACGGGUAGCCGGCCUGAGAGGGUUGUCCGGCCACACUGGGACUGAGACACGGCCCAGAACUCCUACGGGAGGCAGCAGUGGGGAAUAUUGCACAAUGGGCGGAAGCCUGAUGCAGCGACGCCGCGUGGGGGAUGACGGCCCUUCGGGUUGUAAACCUCUUUCGCCAGGGACGAAGCGAGAGUGACGGUACCUGGAGAAGAAGCACCGGCUAACUACGUGCCAGCAGCCGCGGUAAUACGUAGGGUGCGAGCGUUUUGUCCGGAAUUAUUGGGCGUAAAAAGCUCGUAGGCGGCUUUGUUGCGUCUGCCCGUGAAAAUUCACAGCUUAACUGUGGACGUGCGGUGGAUACGGGCAGGCUUGAGUUCGGUAGGGGGAGACUGGAAUUCCUGGUGUAGCGGUGAAAUGCGCAGAUAUCAGGAGGAACACCGGUGGCGAAGGCGGGUCUCUGGGCCGAUACUGACGCUGAGGAGCGAAAGCGUGGGGAGCGAACAGGAUUAGAUACCCUGGUAGUCCACGCUGGUAAACGUUGGGCGCUAGGUGUGGGUGACUGUUUCACGUUGUCCGUGCCCGUAGCUAACGCCAUUAAGCGCCCCCGCCUGGGGAGUACGGGCCGCAAGGCUAAAACUCAAAGGAAUUGACGGGGGCCCCGCACAAGCGGCGGAGCAUGUGGAUUAAUUCGAUGCAACGCGAAGAACCUUACCUGGGCUUGACAUGCACCAGACGGCUUCAGAGAUGGAGCGUCCCUUGUGGUUGGUGUGCAGGUGGUGCAUGGCUGUCGUCAGCUCGUUGUCGUGAGAUGUUGGGUGUUAAGUCCCGCAACGAGCGCAACCCUUGUCCUAUGUUGCCAGCGGGUAAUGCCGGGGACCUCGUGGGAGACUGCCGGGGUCAACUCGGAGGAAGGUGGGGAUGACGUCAAGUCAUCAUGCCCCUUAUGUCCAGGGCUUCACAACAUGCUACAAUGGCCGGUACAGAGGGUUGCGAUAUCGUGAGGUGGAGCGAAUCCCUCAAAAGCCGGUCUCAGUUCGGAUCGUAGUCUGCAACUCGACUGCGUGAAGUUGGAGUCGCUAGUAAUCGCAGAUCAGCAACGCUGCGGUGAAUACGUUCCCGGGCCUUGUACACACCGCCCGUCACGUCAUGAAAGUCGGUAACACCCGAAGCCCAUGGCCCAACCCGUUUACGGGAGGGAGUGGUCGAAGGUGGGACUGGCGAUUGGGGACG
rnacentral:rRNA from 1 species